rnacentral:rRNA from 1 species
UCCUACGGGUGGCAGCAGUGGGGAAUCUUGCGCAAUGGGCGAAAGCCUGACGCAGCCAUGCCGCGUGGAUGAUGAAGGUCUUAGGAUUGUAAAAUCCUUUCAGCGGGGACGAUAAUGACGGUACCCGCAGAAGAAGCCCCGGCUAACUUCGUGCCAGCAGCCGCGGUAAUACGAAGGGGGCUAGCGUUGCUCGGAUUUACUGGGCGUAAAGGGCGCGUAGGCGGACAGUUAAGUCGGGGGUGAAAGCCCGGGGCUCAACCUCGGAAUUGCCUUCGAUACUGGCUGUCUUGAGUACGGGAGAGGUGUGUGGAACUCCGAGUGUAGAGGUGAAAUUCGUAGAUAUUCGGAAGAACACCAGUGGCGAAGGCGACACACUGGCCCGUUACUGACGCUGAGGCGCGAAAGCGUGGGGAGCAAACAGGAUUAGAUACCCCGGUAGUCA